GAUGAACGCUGGCGGCGUGCCUAAUACAUGCAAGUCGAGCGAACGGACGAGAAGCUUGCUUCUCUGAUGUUAGCGGCGGACGGGUGAGUCACACGUGGCUAACCUACCUAUAAGACUGGGAUCACUUCGGGAAACCGUAGCUAAUACCGGAUAAUAUUUUGAACCGCAUGGUUCAAAAGUGAAAGACGGUCUUGCUGUCACUUAUAGAUGGAUCCGCGCUGCAUUAGCUAGUUGGUAAGGUAACGGCUUACCAAGGCAACGAUGCAUAGCCGACCUGAGAGGGUGAUCGGCCACACUGGAACUGAGACACGGUCCAGACUCCUACGGGAGGCAGCAGUAGGGAAUCUUCCGCAAUGGGCGAAAGCCUGACGGAGCAACGCCGCGUGAGUGAUGAAGGUCUUCGGAUCGUAAAACUCUGUUAUUAGGGAAGAACAUAUGUGUAAGUAACUGUGCACAUCUUGACGGUACCUAAUCAGAAAGCCACGGCUAACUACGUG
rnacentral:rRNA from 1 species